CCCAUCGCGGAGGCGGAGCGAAUGUCACCGUGCCGGCGGGGAAGGAGAGGCGAGGAAGAGCCGGAGGGGGGCGGCACGGCAACAGGAACAGCCCCGCUGAAUCUUUUUAACCAGAGAGGUGUUAUGCGCAUGCCCAUGCAAGGUCUUUCAGGGAGGCAGUGGAUGUCCUGAAUCGGGGAUUGGAGGCUGUGAUGGACUGGAUGUGGGCUAAUAAACUGAGACUGAAUCCGGACAAGACGGAGGUGUUUCCAUGGUUUCUUGUUGCCCUUUGAUCUGAAUAAAUAGCCACUCAUUGAAGAAUCUUCUGUACUUGCUGAUACCUACAUUUAAGCAAAUAUGGGCUUCUUUGUGACAAUUUCCUUUCCAUAUGGCAAGAUGGGAUACUAUGCAACACUGUAGACAAGGCACUGGAUGGAGAUCUGUGAUUUAUUGGAGACCCGUUUUUGGAAGGAGUGCAAAGGAAUUUGCCCAAAUUACUGAAUGUAUGAAGCUGAAAGCAGUACAGUCUUUCUUUCUCGAAGAUAAGGAAAUAUCCAAUACUGCAUUUUUUUUCCACACUGCCUAUUUUUUUUUUUUACAAGUUUGUUAAUAUAACUCAGUAUACAACGUGUCUGUGGGUGCUACUUGGUCAUGGACUUUGCACAUCUGAAAAAGCAGUCAUUUUUUUCAAGGAAUUUAUUCCUAAUGCUGAACUUGGAGUGGAACAUUCUUCAAGAAGAAAAGGCUACAUAAAAGCCACCAAAUGGGAGGGGAAAGAUGCUGUAAUGCACACCCAGAAGAAAAAUUCAUGAAGCCACAGUGAGAGGGAAAACAUUGUCCAGACUGCAAUGUUAAUUAUUAAAAACCAUUAGCUGU